CCCGCUGAACUUAAGCAUAUCAAUAAGCGGAGGAAAAGAAACUAACAAGGAUUCCCCUAGUAACUGCGAGUGAAGCGGGAAAAGCUCAAAUUUAAAAUCUGGUGGUCUUUUGCCCAUCCGAGUUGUAAUUUAGAGAAGCGUCUUCCGCGCUGGACCGUACACAAGUCUCCUGGAACGGAGCGUCAUAGAGGGUGAGAAUCCCGUCUUUGGUACGGACCCCCAGGGCUUCUGUGAUGCGCUCUCGAAGAGUCGAGUUGUUUGGGAAUGCAGCUCAAAAUGGGUGGUGAACUCCAUCUAAAGCUAAAUAUUGGCGAGAGACCGAUAGCGAACAAGUACCGUGAGGGAAAGAUGAAAAGCACUUUGGAAAGAGAGUGAAACAGUACGUGAAAUUGUUGAAAGGGAAACGCUUAAAGUCAGUCGCGUCGACCGAGACUCAGCCUCGCUCCGGCUUGGUGUAUUUCUCGGCCCGACGGGUCAGCGUCAAUUUUGCCCCUCGGAUAAUGGCAAGGGAAAGGUGGCACCUUUGCGGGUGUGUUAUAGUCUUUUGUCGCAUGCGAGGGGUGGGAUUGAGGAACUCAGCACGCGCGCCCUUCUGGGUGUGUCGGGGCCUCGGCCCACGCCACGUGCUUAGGAUGCUGGCGUAAUGGCUUUAAACGACCCGUCUUGAAACACGG
rnacentral:rRNA from 1 species